AGAACGAACGCUGGCGGCAUGCCUAACACAUGCAAGUCGAACGCGUGUAGCGAUACACGAGUGGCGGACGGGUGAGUAACGCGUGGGAACCUGCCCUGGAGUGUGGGAUAACCGAGGGAAACUUCGGCUAAUACCGCAUACGACCUGAGGGUGAAAGAUUUAUCGCUCUAGGAGGGGCCCGCGUCGGAUUAGCUAGUUGGUGGGGUAAAGGCCUACCAAGGCAGUGAUCCGUAGCUGGUCUGAGAGGAUGAUCAGCCACACUGGGACUGAGACACGGCCCAGACUCCUACGGGAGGCAGCAGUGGGGAAUAUUGGACAAUGGGGGCAACCCGUGAUCCAGCAAUGCCGCGUGAGUGAUGAAGGCCUUAGGGUUGUAAAGCUCUUCGCGCGCGACGAUGAUGACGGUAGCGCGAGAAGAGCCCGGCUAACUUCGUGCCAGCAGCCGC
rnacentral:rRNA from 1 species